rnacentral:lncRNA from 1 species
AGGGGAGACUCUGUCCGCAGUACAGGAAAAAUCCUGUCCGUUCGGCGGUUUGUUGACGUGCCCGAAUCUGACCAAAGAGGCGGGCUCGGGGCGUGACACGAUAUACCUGCCGACAAUGGAGAGAAAUGAGAAAAAAUAUUAUUAAAAAAAUAUUUAAAAAUAUUUGAGAAAAAUAUAGGUGAAAAUAAAAAAAAAAUAUUACUAAAAAAAAUAUAUGCUUUAUAUUUGAGAAACAUAUAGGUGAAAAUGAGAAAAUACCGAAAUAUAUACUACCAAAAAAAGAUAUGCUCUACAUAUUGUGUGAUAAGUAUUAUGAUGAGAUAAAAUUGGAUACCGUAGAUAUUAUACGUGAAAAUAUUAAGAUAUGUUCAAUACUUAAAAAAUGCGUAAAAUAUUUUGACACGUAUUAUGUGAUAAGUAUUAUGAUAAGAUAAGAUUAUAUAUUAUAAAUAUUUUAUGUGAGGGUAUUAAGAUAUGCUUUAUGUUUGAGAAACACGUAAAAUGUUUUAGCGGGUAUUACUUAAAUAUUGAAUAUUUUG